rnacentral:tRNA from 1 species
GCGCGCGGUAGCUCAAUUGGUAAGAGCAUCGCACGCGCAAUGCGAAGACGUGGGAUCAUGCCCCACCUGCGGCA